rnacentral:misc_RNA from 1 species
GAUGAAGAACGUAGCGAAAAGCGAUAAGUAAUGUGAAUUACAGAAUUCAGUGACUCAUCGAAUCUUUGAACGCACCUUGCGCCCUUUGGCCAUUCCGAAGGGCAUGCCUGUUUGAGUAUCAUGAGCACCUCAACUCUUCAUGGUUUUCCGUGAUGAGCUUGGACUUUGGGGGUCUUGCUGGCCUAUGGUCAGCUCCUCUAAAAUAAAUCAGCUUGCCAGUGUUUGGUGGGUAUCACAGGUGUGAUAACUAUCUACGCUUGUGGUUUUCCACCAGGUAACCUUCAGCAGUGGAGGUUCGCUGGAGCUCACAGAUGUGUCUCUCCUCAGUGAGGACAGCUCUUUGAAUGUUUGAUCUCAAAUCAGGUAGGACUACCCGCUGAACUUAAGCAUAUCAAUAAGCGGAGGA